GAUCCUGGCUCAGGACGAACGCUGGCGGCGUGCUUAACACAUGCAAGUCGAACGAGAGGAGAAGGAAGCUUGCUUCUUUCAAAUCUAGUGGCAAACGGGUGAGUAACACGUAAACAACCUGCCUUCAGGAUGGGGACAACAGACGGAAACGACUGCUAAUACCGAAUACGUUCCUUAGGUCGCAUGACUUUAGGAAGAAAGGGUGGCCUCUACUUGUAAGCUAUCGCCUGAAGAGGGGUUUGCGUCUGAUUAGG
rnacentral:rRNA from 1 species